rnacentral:lncRNA from 1 species
ACAUAAAUCUGGCAUGAGCAAUAGAACUUUAGGUCAGUUUUGAAGGCUUUUCUCUUAUAUUCAGAUACUGGUGAAUGUUUAUGUAACACGCAGUACGUGCUUUUGUGCGUUAUGAUCUUUGCCUUCUCAAGAAUGAGAAUUAUUUUCUCAAAACGGGAAAAAUAAAGUUAACUGCGUAUAAAAAUCGUCCUGACGGAAGUCUGCGUUCAGUUUCGCGGCCGCCAUAUACACCAACAAGAAAAUGGAAUCUGUGAACACUUGAACGCCAUUUUCGCUUUAUCGGAGUAUAUAGGAUAUAAUUCGAAUUUGGUUUCUUCUAAUCAUUUCAUUUUCUGGUGUUUUUAGCAUAGUUUAUUCAUACGAACUUAGUUUGUAAAUUUCGUUCAACUCCAAUGAAUAAUUUCUGUUUUAUUCGCAAUAAUAUGUUGCUUACUUUAUCAGCAUUAACACAUUUAUGAAGGGUAUUUGCAUUAAACUCGGCUACUGCUAUGAUAUUUUAAAAAUUUUAACUACGAUACUAAAAGGAUGAUAUGUAUUCUUGUAGACCAGAGAAGAAACACAGAAAGAAAAAAGUCUUUGAAGAUACUCUUGGAAGCUGAGCAGAAGACAUAUGAAACGGAAUUAUGGAAAAUGGGAUAUUCGAUUAUAAGAAAUUAAGAACUUUGAUAAGAAUUUUUGAGUAUCUAAAUUAAAAUACUUUAGUUAGUCACAGUAAAAAAUACUAAAUAAGUUAAAAUUUUCAAAAUGUAAAUCAGAGCAAAAAUAGAUUUUGAGAUGAAUGCAUUACAGAUAUAUUUUUCACUCAAAUUAAGCUCUAAUUUGAAUCUGAAAUUUUGGUCAAAUUAAGAAAAAAUAAACAAGACGGGAAAUGCCAUUUAUGGGUAUCAACUUAAUUACAUUUUAAAAGUAAUUCAUGCUGAAAAUCAAAAGGGAAGGGAACGGGUUCAAACAAAUAAAAAGAGACAAUUUUUAAUUUAAAUAAUUAAGAAUUAAGAAUGUGCAACAUGAAUGCACAUUCAGUUAUAUAUACAGUGCAUAUUAUUAUUACAGUGCAAUAUGAAUGAUAUGAAUAGUGAUUAUGAAUGAUCUGCAGCCCCUUUGGUCUAAAAAAAGAACAAUAUUUUGCCGUUAUAAGAAUAAAUUUAUGUAUACUUAAUUAUGGAUAUAAAAGAAAUUUUUUUGUGUGUAUCUUUCAGUCAACAAAUAAGGAAGUGAAAAGGAUGAAAUAUAAAUUCAGAGGACAUUACAAUGUACACAUGAUCAUAUGUUUAUAACUCAAAUCAGGUCAUAUAGAUUUGUAUAUAUAUAUAUAUAUAUUGACUUAAUCUGUUUGUGGGGCUGGACUAUAUGUUCCCCACUGCGAUCAGCAGUGCUUGAAUGUAUAAACUGCUAAACACGGUAAUUCAACACGUGUUCAAAUUCAGGUGAAAAUUCAGGUUUUAAUGCAUUUUUUAUGGUUUUCCUUACAUGUAACGUGAAUAUGAGUUUUUAGAAUGUUUUCCGCAAAGGUAUCACAUUUUCUUAGGCAAAUAGCAUUGGUAUGUAAAAAAAUAAACAAAUAUGGUGUUAAAUAUGGCUCAAUGAACGUUAUUCCAUUAUUGUAAAGAUUAAAAAUGUACUGGUUGACGCCGGGUAAAAAAGAGGCAAAUUGUAUUGCUUGGUUUUCUUCUCUGUAUUGCGGGAAUGCUUAAUGCUUUGCUAAACGGAAAGUUAACGAGUAUAACCUACACGAAAAGAUUCAUUUGUAACUGAAUUAAAUGUAUAACAGAAAUGAUAGUCACGACUUUAAGGAGGGGAAGAUCUUGAUGAAAAUAACUAUUUUUAUAAUGCAAUGCGUGGUGGAAUGUGAAAUUUAAACGCGGAAAUUACAGUAUGAAGAACAAGGAAAUCGAAAAAUCGUCUUAAUCAUUGGUAUUAACAAAAAUUAUGAUUUAUAUUAUCACUUUAUUAUGGAGGCAUUUUUUUCAAAUGAAUAACUGACAAUUGCAAUAUAUUCAUCAUACUGUCCACAGUUUACGAGGUACAAAUUGACUGAAUAAUUUUCUUCGAGAAUUAGCCUCGCUGUUGCAGAAGUACCUGAACGUUUCGAAUGUCUUUCAAAAUACUGCCACGGUGUGCAAAACUGCUGCCAUCUACUAAAGUUCUCCAUGAUGUACGGCGUUAUCAGCACCAGCCUUACUAUAUCAGGCGCCUUCGGUGAAAAGCUCCCCUUUAUUCUUCCCUAAAAUCCCAGAAUGGGGAAAUCAUGAAACAUCAUUUCACAGAACAUGCUUUUUGGUGGUUUAAAAAUUUUGAUCAGCGCACCUCAGAAUCGGCUGGCCUGGGCGGUCGUCCUAACUCGCCUUCCUUAAAGCCGCUAACAGGAGUUAUAAUCCGGAACUGAUUUUCUCUUUUCCAAAUUACGCAAAAAUAUUUUAGAUGCAUUUUCAAUUAUUAAAUUUGAGAAUAUCUGCAGUAACGAGAAUGCAGUGUGACAGUACGUCAUACUUUUGUCGCACCAUUUUAAUUUGCCCUGGCCUCAUUGAUGCACAGUAUGUGACAGACAGUGAUGGAGAACGAGAUCAUCUUGUCUUCUCUUAUUCUCCUUUCGCCAAGAGUCAGAAGGAAUUUUGCAGCAGCUCUUUCAAUAAAUUCUGUAGUUCACUGUCGAUUCUGUGUUUUUUUGGCCAAAAUAAGAUUACGAGCUUAGGGAAAUUUUCAUUUAUCAUUCUAUGCUUGCUUUUAGACUGGUGAUCGAGUUUAAAGAAAUAGAAGAAAUGUUGGUCCUUAUUGUGCAUUAUUUUGUAGGAAAGAAAUCUGCAGCAAAGAAAAGGGAUUUUUGAAUUUCCUUUUGAACUGAAUGUAGGUGUUUAUGAUGUACAAAAUAUGAUUCAUUAAAGAAAUACCAUUAUGAGGUAAAUAUAAAUCUCCGUAAGAAAUUCACUUGAAUAUUUCAUUUAUUCUGUUUGAAGACAAAAAUAUUGCUGAUUUUUCCCCAAUUUUUCCUGAGUAAAGAUAUUUUCCUCCAUUAAUUUGUGCAAUUUUCUAUUAAUUACCUGCUAAUUGGUUUCUGUUAUUAAUUGGAUUGGUAAUUGCUAUUGGUAGAUGCUAAUUGGUAAUUUAUGUUAAUUAAUUGGUAAUUGCUAUUAAAUUGAUAAUUGCUGUUAAUAAUUUCUGCUUACUAAAUCAUGAAACCAAUAAUUUAUAGCAAUAUUUUUAAAUCCACUUUUACCCUUUAUUGAUUGAUUCUUUACAGUAACCUAUUUAUAUACUGAAAAAAAGUUUUUUUUUUUUUUUUUUUUAAUUUCCAAUCGCGGGCACUAGGCUUUAUAGGCACUGGCCACUAUAAAGACCGAAAACGACGGUCAUUUUAUUAUGGACGUACCUAAUAGGUGGGUCACCGUGGCCUCCUAUGAAGGGACAGACAAUUUACAUCCAUGCCUUCUCCAGGACUCGAACCCUUCGGUAUGGCAGUCAGUGUCACUAGCCACUUUCCCAUCCGGCUGGCAUAUGCAGAAAUAAUGGUAAAAACUUAGGCAAUUGGUUCCUUGCAUAUUCGUUUAGCAAGAGGUGGCUUGAUGUAGUUGUUUGCAAGCUUUUAAAUGAAAAAUGUCAUGUUAUUUUUGUUGUGACUAAUCUUGCUUGUCUGAAAUCAGCGCAAGCUCGCGAAAUUCAUUGUGGUAAGGAGUCAAGAUUCCACCUGUCGUUUGCAAGAGGCUUGGUAACCAUACAGGUGACAGUACGACUUUGCAUCUAGACCUGACCUCUAGUUUGACAUAGAGCUCAGCAGUCUGGUAGGAUCUUCGUAGAGGAUGUAAUAGUUGAAUGCAGCUUUUAUAGCAUCUGUUCUCUGGAUAUCAACAAGGAUAGGUAAAUAAAUUUGUUUAUUUUGAAGUAAAAUUUUAAAUGCGAACGUAUUAAAAUUAUAUGAUUUUUUGCUUAUUUUUCUGUUAGCAAAACCAUGAAUUUGUAGAAGUUUACUUCAUGUUUUUCAUUCAAAACUUCAAUGGAUUAAGAAAGGUGUAGCAAAAAUAUACAGCUGUCAGAAUCUCUAUCUAGUUUGAACCUACUUCUCAUCUCUAUUUAAUUCCUUCACCCGCUUUGAUGAUCAAUGUGACUGAUUCCCAAUAAAUAAUGUUUCAUGUGAAAAAUACCUUCCCCUCUCCUCCUUAAAUUUUUAGGGGGUAAUAAUGUUUUAGAAUUUAGAGAAGUGGCGAGAAGCAAAAUUUAAGUAUGGCAAUAUUUUUAGAAUUUAGGGGAAGCAGUAGGCAGCAGAAUUUUGGGGUGAAAAAUAUUUUAUAAUUUAUGGGGGCACCAGGCACUAGAAUUUAGGACCCGCAGAGAUUGCACCAAGUGGCAAAAUACUCACAUAUCCUUGCGUCCUUGCAAAUGAGAACAGAAGGAUCACAUGUAGGGAGUUCACAUGUAGGAGAAUACGUGUACAAAAGUUUUCCCAACGAACUGGAACUUAAUAGCCAGACUGUGCAAGCUUUCAUGGCAGCUGGUAGGAAUUCGAGUCCUAACAUCACACAGGUAGUUGAUCUUUGAGCGUGCGAUUUCUUUCUACGAAGUGUCCGAAAUUUCAGACUUUAAAGCUUCAAUGCUCCGCAUAAGAAUUGAAAAAUCAUAUUCAGCAAAAAGUGGGAUGGAUCCAGUUAAGAUGCUUAAAAAAGUAAUCUGUUAUAUUGGGAAAGAUCACCGAAUGACCUACAGCAGAAUGACAUUCCUCAUGAUAAUAAUAUUUCUGGAAAGAAGGAUGUUUUCUAUGUGUUAAACUGUUAAAAUGAGUUAAAUGAAAUUGAAAAGCCUUAAAUGCUUUUGUUUGCAUGCUAUGUUUACAUAUGUCAAAAUCAAAUAAAUGAAAAUAUUUAGUA